rnacentral:rRNA from 1 species
GACGAACGCUGGCGGCGUGCUUAACACAUGCAAGUCGAACGAUGAACCCGGAGCUUGCUCUGGGGGAUUAGUGGCGAACGGGUGAGUAACACGUGAGUAACCUGCCCUGGACUCUGGGAUAAGCGUUGGAAACGACGUCUAAUACCGGAUAGGACCUUGGAUCGCAUGAUCUGGGGUGGAAAGUUUUUUCGGUCUGGGAUGGACUCGCGGCCUAUCAGCUUGUUGGUGAGGUAAUGGCUCACCAAGGCGUCGACGGGUAGCCGGCCUGAGAGGGUGACCGGCCACAGUGGGACUGAGACACGGCCCAGACUCCUACGGGAGGCAGCAGUGGGGAAUAUUGCACAAUGGGCGAAAGCCUGAUGCAGCAACGCCGCGUGCGGGAUGACGGCCUUCGGGUUGUAAACCGCUUUUAGUAGGGAAGAAGGGCUUCGGCUUGACGGUACCUGCAGAAAAAGGACCGGCUAACUACGUG